CCGCGUGCGGGAUGAAGGCCUUCGGGUUGUAAACCGCUUUCAGCAGGGACGAAACUGACUGUACCUGCAGAAGAAGCUCCGGCUAACUACGUGC
rnacentral:rRNA from 1 species